UGUCUGCGCUGUCUGUAAAAGAUGAGAUCAGGUAUUAAAUGGUCACAGUGCUCUAAUAAGUCUGUGAUAUGAGUUUGACCUCUACAGUGAAGGCCACAUGACACAGGCAACACUGACUGCUGCUACGUGGGCGACUGAGAGAAAGAAUGCUGAAAACCAACCUUCUUCCCUGGAAAAACAGGGUUUCCUGGUUUUAGCUUAGGCAAUAGCUUAGGCUGUUGGCUGCAGCUGUGAUGGCUCCUCACAGCUGUGGCUGGGGAAGGAUGUCUGAGCCUCAGGAGGGCUGAGUAAGUUGGUGAAGCAGUCUGAUGGGGCUGGCUGCCAGAGUGGGAAGGGUGUGAAAAGAGGCAGCCCGGAGCAAAGGAAGGUGAUGUGAGCUGCUGGAGUUAUUUUAGUGCAAUACUUAACAGGGUGUUUCUUGGGAUUUUGUUCCACCUAUUGAGAGGAAAUGAUAAUUUGGGGAUUGAAUCUUGGCCAGUGGGAAACCCAGGUGGAGAGAGGGUUGGAGGCAAAGACCUAGGGUGUCAGUGUUUUGGGGCUCGGAGCUAAAUCUGUUGGCUAACCCCAAAAAGGAGAUCCCCAGCAAUGUAGAUAGAGUCCCUUGUCCUCUGAAUAAAUGCUGUAAGACUGAUUUUGAGGGGACCUGCAGUAUGCAUGACAAGAAAUAACUCAGCAUUUGUUGAAACAUUUUUUCCUUUCUAGAACAAAAAUUGCUUGACCUGGUACAGUUAAGAGUCUGUCUGAUGAUAAAAUUACUUCUGAGAAAAAAAGAAAAAAGUACAAAAUGAAGUUGUUGAAGAUUUCUUUUAUUGACUCUAAGUUACUUGUAGAACCAAACUAUAACUGGCUGUAGCUUCCUCUCUUCAGUGGGGGUCCUAUGUGGCCAGAACUCCACCUCUCAAGUUUAAACAGCCUCAGAGUGUUGCUUUUGCCUCACUUUCUGCAUGUAGCACAGGCAGGGAAUACAUAGCAAAGCUCAGACAUCACUGACUUGGGGCCCCAGAGAGUCCUUCCUACUGUUUUUUUUGCAGAGCUAAUUCAACCUCUUUGCAGAAAUUCUAAUGGUAUGAGAAGUCUACCUAUGAAGAUCACAUUCUGGAGAUGAUGACAGCAGCGGAGGAAAUAUGACAGCGUGCUCCAGGGAAGAAUAGGAUGACAUUUAUUCACAGAGGAAAGAACUGAGACAACAGGAUCUGAGGAACUGGUCUCAUCUAAGAGGUUUGGUAGCUGCUGAUAGAGA